UACGGGGGGGGUAAGCGUUGUCCGGAUUUAUUGGGCGUAAAGAGCUCGUAGGCGGCUUGUCGCGUCGACUGUGAAAACCCGCAGCUCAACUGUGGGCUUGCAGCCGAUACGGGCAGGCUAGAGUUCGGUAGGGGAGACUGGAAUUCCUGGUGUAGCGGUGAAAUGCGCAGAUAUCGGGAGGAACACCAGUGGCGAAGGCGGCUCUCUGGGCCCUACCUGACGCUGAGACGCGAAAGCGUGGGGAGCGAACCGG
rnacentral:rRNA from 1 species